AAGUCGUAACAAGGUUUCCGUAGGUGAACCUGCGGAAGGAUCAUUAAUAAUGAACAAAGAGUGGCCAUUCUAGCCGUUAAACGCUGGUUUGGUUGCUUUUUUAACUUGUGAACUGGUGAAUUGAGGCUUUGGCCUUGAUUCAUGCAUCUUGUACUUUAGUGAUUAUUUAUAUAAAAGUUAAAAUCUAUGACAACUUUCAGCAAUGGAUCUCUUGGCUCUU
rnacentral:misc_RNA from 1 species